UACCAUAUGGUUUGGGUAUACCACUAUCACCUAUCGAAAUGAAACACUAACCUGCCCACGACCCCCUAUACCGGAUACCUUUGCUUUGAAACCAAUGACUAGUAGAGGAUUUCGAGGAACAACAGCAAAGGGAAGUAGGGAUGGGCUUUCCUCGGAUUAGUGUUCGGAUUUCGCUGGUCUUGCCAAUGGUUGUUAUUCAAAAGAAGGGUUCGCACCGGCAAAGAAGAAUAUAUUUUCUAGUUGAGAUCGGAAGAG